GGUUACUUAAGUCUGAUGUGAAAGCCUUCGGCUUAACCGAAGAAGUGCAUCGGAAACUGGGUGACUUGAGUGCAGAAGAGGACAGUGGAACUCCAUGAGUAGCGGUGGAAUGCGUAGAUAUAUGGAAGAACACCAGUGGCGAAGGCGGCUGUCUGGUCUGCAACUGACGCUGAGGCUCGAAAGCAUGGGUAGCGAACAGGAUUAGAUACCCUGGUAGUCCAUGCCGUAAACGAUGAGUGCUAGGUGUUGGAGGGUUUCCGCCCUUCGGUGCCGGAGCUAACGCAUUAAGCACUCCGCCUGGGGAGUACGACCGCAAGGUUGAAACUCAAAGGAAUUGACGGGGGCCCGCACAAGCGGUGGAGCAUGUGGUUUAAUUCGAAGCUACGCGAAGAACCUUACCAGGUCUUGACAUCUUGCGCUAACCUAAGAGAUUAGGCGUUCCCUUCGGGGACGCAAUGACAGGUGGUGCAUGGUCGUCGUCAGCUCGUGUCGUGAGAUGUUGGGUUAAGUCCCGCAACGAGCGCAACCCUUGUUACUAGUUGCCAGCAUUCAGUUGGGCACUCUAGUGAGACUGCCGGUGACAAACCGGAGGAAGGUGGGGACGACGUCAGAUCAUCAUGCCCCUUAUGACCUGGGCUACACACGUGCUACAAUGGUCGGUACAACGAGUCGCAAACCCGCGAGGGCAAGCUAAUCUCUUAAAGCCGAUCUCAGUUCGGACUGUAGUCUGCAACUCGCCUACACGAAGUCGGAAUCGCUAGUAAUCGCGGAUCAGCAUGCCGCGGUGAUACGUUCCCGGGU
rnacentral:rRNA from 1 species